GCAACUCAGUUGGUGAGAGUGUGGUGCUCAUGAUACCAAGGCUGUGGGUUCGAUCCCUGUAUGGGCAGCA